rnacentral:rRNA from 1 species
GUGAGGAAUAUUGCGCAAUGAAGGCAACUCUGACGCAGCCAUGCCGCGUGCAGGAAGAAGGCGCUACGCGUUGUAAACUGCUUUUAACCGGGAAGAAACCCCAGGACGUGUCCUGGGUUGACGGUACCGGAGGAAUAAGCACCGGCUAACUUCGUGCCAGCAGCCGCGGUAAUACGAAGGGUGCAAGCGUUAUCCGGAUUCAUUGGGUUUAAAGGGUGCGUAGGCGGAGCGUUAAGUCAGUGGUGAAAUCCUGCAGCUUAACUGUAGACUUGCCAUUGAUACUGGCGCUCUUGAGUGCGCUUGAAGUGGGCGGAAUGUGCCGUGUAGCGGUGAAAUGCUUAGAUAUGGCACAGAACACCAAUUGCGAAGGCAGCUCACUAAGGCGAUACUGACGCUGAGGCACGAAAGCGUGGGGAUCGAACAGGAUUAGAAACCCUAGUAGUCC